rnacentral:rRNA from 1 species
GAUGAACGCUGGCGGCGUGCCUCAAACAUGCAAGUCGAGCGAGGCUAUGAGUUACCGCAAGGUAAGGCAUAGCCUAGCGGCGAACGGGUGAGUAACACGUGGGUAACCUACCUGGAAGACAGGGAUAACGAUUCGAAAGGGUCGCUAAUACCUGAUAAUAUCCAUCUGCCGGAUGGCGGAGGGAAGAAAGGGGAAACCCGCUUUCAGAUGGGCCCGCGUCCCAUCAGCUAGUUGGUAAGGUAAAGGCUUACCAAGGCGACGACGGGUAGCCGGUCUGAGAGGAUGUACGGCCACACUGGGACUGAGAUACGGCCCAGACUCCUACGGGAGGCAGCAGUUGGGAAUCUUAGGCAAUGGACGAAAGUCUGACCUAGCGACGCCGCGUGAGGGAAGAAGGCCUUGGGUUGUAAACCUCUGUCAUGGGGAAGAAGGAAGUGACGGUACCCCAAGAGGAAGCCCCUAGCUAACUACGUG